AGUUGCCUCCUUUUGGAGUCUUUUAGUGAGCCCAGGACAAGGAUUUCAAAGUUUUCAUAGGCUUUUGUACUCUAAAUACUUCAAGGAUCAACAGCUCAAGUGGGAAAACUAAAAGGUUUUCUAGAGAUAUCAGUUACCUUCCAGCUGAGGUGGUAACACUAGAGUGGAAAAAUUCCAGCGCUGUUAAUGAAGAUGAGGAACUAACACAAGAGGAUUUUGGUUGGUGUUCCUAUAUUCAGGAAUAAGGGUCUUGAGCUGUGUCACAAAGGCAAGAACAACAGAAAUAGUUAAGAAGAUAACUUAAAGCUGAAUUACUAACGUGUCUCAUAGAGCUCUAAUUGUGAAGAGGAUUUCAUUGUCACAUGGUGAAGAAGUAAUAGACAUUACCCUGGGCAUAAUUUCAAUAAUUUUUUUACUUGUUUUACAUUGUAUCUUAAGUCAGUGAACUGGCUCACCUCUAAUAGUAUAUUUGCAGCAGUGGCAUGAGUUACUGACAUCAUUUAUUUAGACAAGUAUAAACCAGAAAAAAAUCACAGUAUAAUAAAUGCCUGUCAGCCUCAUUGCCAAUGUAGGAAGUAACAUCAUCACUAGAUGUAGAAAGAAUAUUACAGAGACAUCAAGACAGCAAUAUAUAUUGACAUAUGUAUUAAACUUUCAAUUUUC